rnacentral:lncRNA from 1 species
CAGGAAGUGACAUAGCAGGGUAGAAUCAGAGAAGCAGGAAAUUUCUCUCUUCUCUCUUCUCUGUGGAGACGCUGAGCAGACGUGAUGUAGACCCCAGUGGAAUAAGAGGCCUGGACAUUACCUCUGAAACUGGAAGCAAUCUAGAUGCUCAUCAAAAGAAGAAUGGAUAAGGAAAAUGUGGCACAUAUACACAAUGGAGUACUACUCAGAGGUAAAAAACAAUGACAUCUUGAAAUUUGAAGACAAAUGGAUGGAGCUAGAAGAAACCAUCCUGAGUGAGGAAACACAGGCACAGAAAGACAAGCACAAAACAACACCUUGAUAAAAUCACUGUGUUUGAGUCUGCAUCUGAGGAUGCAGAAGAUCUGGAGAGAGACAGCACUGAAACUCCCAAACUCUACAAGUUCAAACUGUGAGACUGUUGGGAACUGACCAUCCUUUGGAGAUACAGGGACCAUCAGUGGAUGUCAAGGCACUCUGGACAGCAGGAAGUUGCUACUGUGUCCACCUGAAGGGAAAGUGGUACCAAUGGAACCGAGGACUGUGUACACAGGAGCUGUGAAUUAUGCUUUUCUAUCUGUUUUACUCAGAACCAGAUGAGGAGAACAUUAACUUAUUUUAAAUUUAAAAAUAAAGUCUUCAAAAAGGCUGGGGACACUAUUCAAUGGUAACUCGAUUGCCUAGCCCUUGCAAAACCCUCAGCUUGGUCUCUGUUAAGUCUCAGGUCCUGGGACAAAUGGCGGAGGCUGCCUCUGCCUGUGCUUUCCCUUUUAUCUAUCACAAAAUUUCUCCUCCACCAUACCUAGGAAUAGACAUGUCUUUCUCUUUUAUUUCUUUUUUUCAGUCAGUCUCCAGCACCAGAACAAAACAAAUGAAACACAAAAGUCAAAACCCAAAUAAAAAUAAAAAGGGAGAAAACAGUAAUUUUUUGUUUGUUUGUUUGUUUGUUUUUUUGUUUUUUGAGACAGGGUUUCUCUGUGUAGCCCUGACUGUCCUAGAAUUCACUCUGUAGACCAGGCUGGCCUCUACUUCACAGAGAUCCACCUGUCUCUGUCUCCCAAGUACUGGGAUUAAAGGCAUAUGCC